CAGUACAGUAAUGCUGUAACUUUACAGGUUGAAUACAGGUGUUAAUGUGUUUUCCUCUCUCUCUCUCUCUCUCUCUCUCUCUCUCUCUCUCUCUCUCUCUGUGUGUGAACAGUACAGUAAUGCUGUAACUUUACAGGUUGAAUACAGGUGUUCAUGUGUUUUCCUCUCUCUCUCUCUCUCUCUCUCUCUCUCUCUCUCUUCUCUCUCUCUCUCUGUGUGUGAACAGUACAGUAAUGCUGUAACUUUACAGGUUGAAUACAGGUGUUAAUGUGUUUUCCUCUCUCUCUCUCUCUCUCUCUCUCUCUCUCUCUCUCUCUCUCUCUCUGUGUGUGAACAGUACAGUAAUGCUGUAACUUUACAGGUUGAAUACAGGUGUUAAUGUGUUUUCCUCUCUCUCUCUCUCUCUCUCUCUCUCUCUCUCUCUCUCUCUCUCUCUCUCUGUGUGUGAACAGUACAGUAAUGCUGUAACUUUACAGGUUGAAUACAGGUGUUCAUGUGUUUUCCUCUCUCUCUCUCUCUCUCUCUCUCUCUCUCUCUCUCUCUGU